rnacentral:rRNA from 1 species
UCGGGAAUUUUGGGCAAUGGGGGAAACCCUGACCCAGCAACGCCGCGUGAAGGAUGAAGUAUUUCGGUAUGUAAACUUCGAAAGAAUAGGAAGAAUAAAUGACGGUACUAUUUAUAAGGUCCGGCUAACUACGUGCCAGCAGCCGCGGUAAUACGUAGGGACCAAGCGUUGUUCGGAUUUACUGGGCGUAAAGGGCGCGUAGGCGGCAUGACAAGUCACUUGUGAAAUCUCUGGGCUUAACUCCGGGCGUGCAGGCGAUACGGGCAUAACUUGAGUGCUGUAGGGGUAACUGGAAUUCCUGGUGUAGCGGUGAAAUGCGCAGAUAUCAGGAGGAACACCGAUGGCGAAGGCAGGUUACUGGGCAGUUACUGACGCUGAGGAGCGAAAGCAUGGGUAGCGAACAGGAUUAGAUACCCUAGUAGUCCCUGAGCGGGCUGGCAAGGCGCAU